CUAGCUAAGGCCUAAAAAUAGCUACACCCCAAUCUCCCCCAAUCGGCUGACCGCUCUCCUUCAUCUUCACAAAAAAAAAACCUAGAGAACCCUUAAGACCCCCUUAGUCAUUCUUCACAAAAACAACCAGAACACACCCAUCAGCAACCAUCAAUGAGUCCAGCCGCCCAAGCCAUCUUAACCAAUACCUUCAAUCUUCUACUCCAAGCUUCCAAAAAACUAGCAAACUCGGAUCCGCCGUAGACCACCACCAAAUCGCCGGACCUCCACUCCAAGAACCUCAUCUCCAAGUAGCAUUUACUCCCCCUCAAAACCUUCCUUAAAACAAUGUGAAACAACCCGAAAUAACUCUGAAUCACCAAUCCCUGUCAUGGAGUCGGUUUGGUUUUGCCUUCCUGAUCUAGUUUGAGUUUUUCCGGCGAGAUUCGAGGUUGUCGUUCAAGAUUUACAAUGAGGUUUUCGUUCUUGGCUCAACGUUUCCGGUCCUGUGUGAUUUUAGUCAAGGUGUUUCGAUCGUGGUUCAAACAAUCAUAUUCAAACUUUAUUUUAGGUGGAAACCCAUUGAGGUCAAUUUCAUCACCUCUUUCUUUAAUAAUGCGUGAUAUUUCGGUGCUCUAUUUAGAGCUUUUGGUUGAAUGAAUCUACAUUUACAAUGUGUUUGUCAUUGCUUUUGAAUUAAUAUUCUAUGUAUGCCUUUGUAGUGCUACUAUUUAAAAUUAUAACAUUAGAGUGAUGAAUUUGGAAUUAAGAUAUAAGUUGCCUAAGAUAAUUUAUGCUUCACGGGCUGAUUCAGAAUUGGACUAAAGCAAAACAGUGAUUUGGUUUAAAAUGACAUUAAUGUGAACGUUGGCUGGCAUUUUAGGCUAUACACGAACUUAGCCUUUAACAGGUUUAAGUUUUGGAUUAUUGUUUUUACCAUGCCAAUUUGUUCAAUAGAGUCAUAGUUUAGAUUAAUAUUUUGUUCUUCCAUAACUGCUAGGAGCAUGACUAGGCCGACCACACCUGGGUGUUCAUUUCAUGUGACCGACCAUAACUUCUAAGAAUAAUAAUAAAAUAAAUAUGUUGUAAGUUGUGGGUGCAUUUCAUGUGAUGCGGUUUGCAGUGUACCAAAAUGACAAGUGUACGACAAUCGUGACUUGUUUAAAAACAUAAUUCUGUAAACAUUAAAAAUGGCUAGAAAGUUAAAAAGCAUGUAGGUUUAAAAUGUGUAAUAAAUCAGAAAAUUAGGCAAAUUAUUAAUAGUUGAGAGACUGUGCUAAAAUUACGGAACCCGAGAAUGCCUAACACCUUAUCCCGGGUUAACAGAAUUCCUUACCCAAAUUUCUGCAUUUCGCGGACUGUAAAACAGAGUCAAACUUCCUCGAUUCGGAAUUUCAAACCGGUGACUUGGGAUACCAUAAAUUAUCCCAAGUGGUGACUCUAAAUUUGAAUAUAAAUAAUCCUGUUUCGAUUGUAUAACUUUAAUUGCAAAAACUCCCUAUCCCCCUUAGGAAAAAGGAGGUGCGCCAGCUCUGGCGACUCUGCUGGGGAUAAGAACCUAGAACUCCUGGUUCAGGGUUCAGAAUUCGAGCUUAGAAUAACUAUGAUAGUUGGCUUUUGUUUAUUAUCUGAUUUUUUUACGUGUUUGAGCCUAAUGUGCUAAAUGUUGCUUUUUAUCGCUUUGAUAUUGUUUGAAUUGUAUAUAAAACUGUUAUGAAACACUUCUUGUCUCUGAGUCUUCUAAAUCUUCUAGGAAGCGUGCACUUCACGUGGCUUCUUUUCUAUUAGAGUUAUAUCCCAAUUUUAGAACGAGGUUCAGGCAAGUUGCAAAGCCGGUGAAGCUUC
rnacentral:lncRNA from 1 species